AACGAACGCUGGCGGCAGGCUUAACACAUGCAAGUCGAGCGGGUGUAGCAAUACAUCAGCGGCAGACGGGUGAGUAACACGUGGGAACCUUCCUCGUUGUACGGAACAACUCAGGGAAACUUUAGCUAAUCCCGUAUACGUCCGAGAGGAGAAAGAUUUAUCGCAAUGAGACGGGCCCGCGUCGGAUUAGCUAGUUGGUGGGGUAACGGCCUACCAAGGCGACGAUCCGUAGCUGAUCUGAGAGGAUGAUCAGCCACACUGGGACUGAGACACGGCCCAGACUCCUACGGGAGGCAGCAGUGGGGAAUCUUGGACAAUGGGCGCAAGCCUGAUCCAGCCAUGCCGCGUGAGUGAAGAAGGCCUUAGGGUUGUAAAGCUCUUUUGCCAGGGACGAUAAUGACGGUACCUGGAGAAUAAGCCCCGGCAAACUUCGUGCCAGCCGCCGCCGUAAAAC
rnacentral:rRNA from 1 species